rnacentral:rRNA from 1 species
GAUGAACGCUGGCGGCGUGCCUAAUACAUGCAAGUCGAGCGAAUGGAUUAAGAGCUUGCUCUUAUGAAGUUAGCGGCGGACGGGUGAGUAACACGUGGGUAACCUGCCCAUAAGACUGGGAUAACUCCGGGAAACCGGGGCUAAUACCGGAUAACAUUUUGAACCGCAUGGUUCGAAAUUGAAAGGCGGCUUCGGCUGUCACUUAUGGAUGGACCCGCGUCGCAUUAGCUAGUUGGUGAGGUAACGGCUCACCAAGGCAACGAUGCGUGGCCGCCCUGAGAGGGUGAUCGGCCACACUGGGACUGAGACACGGCCCAGGCUCCUACGGGAGGCAGCAGUAGGGAAUCUUCCGCAAUGGACGAAAGUCUGACGGAGCAACGCCGCGUGAGCGAUGAAGGCUUUCGGGUCGUAAAACUCUGUUGUUAGGGAAGAACAAGUGCUAGUUGAAUAAGCUGGCACCUUGACGGUACCUAACCAGAAAGCCACGACUAACUACGUGCCAGCAGCCGCCGUAA